rnacentral:rRNA from 1 species
AGUAACGGCGAGUGAAGCGGUAACAGCUCAAAUUUGAAAUCUGGCCUCACGGUCCGAGUUGUAAUUUGUAGAGGAUGCUUCGAGCAUGGUCUGGCCUAAGUUCCUUGGAACAGGACGUCAUAGAGGGUGAGAAUCCCGUAUGCGGUCAGGUGCCUACGCUCAUGUGAAGCUCCUUCGACGAGUCGAGUUGUUUGGGAAUGCAGCUCAAAAUGGGUGGUAAAUUUCAUCUAAAGCUAAAUAUUGGCCAGAGACCGAUAGCGCACAAGUAGAGUGAUCGAAAGAUGAAAAGCACUUUGGAAAGAGAGUUAAACAGUACGUGAAAUUGUUGAAAGGGAAGCGCUUGCAACCAGACUUGCGCGCGGCCGAUCAUCCGGUGUUCUCACCGGUGCACUCGGCCGUGCUCAGGCCAGCAUCGGUUUCGGCGGUUGGAUAAAGGCCUCAGGAAUGUGGCUCCUCUCGGGGAGUGUUAUAGCCUGGGGUGCAAUGCAGCCUGCUGGGACCGAGGACCGCGCUUCGGCUAGGAUGCUGGCGUAAUGGUUGUAAGCGGCCCGUCUUGAAACACGGACCAAGGAGUCUAACAUCUAUGCGAGUGUUUGGGUGUCAAACCCAUACGCGUAAUGAAAGUGAACGGAGGUGAGAACCCUUAAGGGUGCAUCAUCGACCGAUCCUGAUGUCUUCGGAAGGAUUUGAGUAAGAGCAUAGCUGUUGGGACC